CACCGGCGGCCCGAGUGGUAGCCGUUAUUAUUGGGUUUAAAGGGUCCGUAGCCGGCCUAUUAAGUCUCUUGGGAAAUAUGGCGACUCAAUCGUCAUGCGUUCAAGAGAUACUGGUAGGCUUGGGACCGGGAGAGGUGGGAGGUACUCCAGGGGUAGGGGUGAAAUCUCGUAAUCCUUGGGGGACCACCGAUGGCGAAGGCAUCCCACCAGAACGGGUCCGACGGUGAGGGACGAAAGCUGGGGGCACGAACCGGAUUAGAUACCCGGGUAGUCCCAGCCGUAAACGAUGCUCGCUAGGUGUCAGGUGCGGUGCGACCGCAUCUGGUGCCGUCGUGAAAACUUGAAGCGAGUCACCUGGGAAGUACGGUCGCAAGGCUG
rnacentral:rRNA from 1 species